GGGACAACAGUUGGAAACGACUGCUAAUACCGCAUAAGCGCACAGCUUCGCAUGAAGCAGUGUGAAAAACUCCGGUGGUACAAGAUGGACCCGCGUCUGAUUAGCUGGUUGGUGAGGUAACGGCCCACCAAGGCAACGAUCAGUAGCCGGCCUGAGAGGGUGAACGGCCACAUUGGGACUGAGACACGGCCCAAACUCCUACGGGAGGCAGCAGUGGGGAAUAUUGCACAAUGGGGGAAACCCUGAUGCAGCAACGCCGCGUGAGUGAAGAAGUAUUUCGGUAUGUAAAGCUCUAUCAGCAGGAAAGAAAAUGACGGUACCUGACUAAGAAGCCCCGGCUAACUACGUGCCAGCAGCCGCGGUAAUACGUAGGGGGCAAGCGUUAUCCGGAUUUACUGGGUGUAAAGGGAGCGUAGACGGUUUUGCAAGUCUGAAGUGAAAGCCCGGGGCUUAACCCCGGGACUGCUUUGGAAACUGUAGAACCAGAGUGCAGGAGAGGUAAGUGGAAUUCCUAGUGUAGCGGUGAAAUGCGUAGAUAUUAGGAGGAACACCAGUGGCGAAGGCGGCUUACUGGACUGUAACUGACGUUGAGGCUCGAAAGCGUGGGGAGCAAACAGGAUUAGAUACCCUGGUAGUCCACGCCGUAAACGAUGAUUACUAGGUGUUGGUGGGUAUGACCCAUCGGUGCCGCAG
rnacentral:rRNA from 1 species